rnacentral:rRNA from 1 species
AAAAACUCCGGUGGUAUGGGAUGGGCCCGCGUCUGAUUAGGUAGUUGGCGGGGUAAGGGCCCACCAAGCCGACGAUCAGUAGCCGACCUGAGAGGGUGGCCGGCCACAUUGGGACUGAGACACGGCCCAAACUCCUACGGGAGGCAGCAGUGGGGAAUAUUGCGCAAUGGGGGAAACCCUGACGCAGCAACGCCGCGUGAGUGAGGAAGUAUCUCGGUAUGUAAAGCUCUAUCAGCGGGGAAGAAAGAGGACGGUACCCGACUAAGAAGCCCCGGCUAACUACGUGCCAGCAGCCGCGGUAAUACGUAGGGGGCGAGCGUUAUCCGGAUUUACUGGGUGUAAAGGGAGCGUAGACGGCGUCGCAAGUCUGAAGUGAAAGCCCGUGGCUCAACCGCGGAACCGCUUUGGAAACUGCGAGGCUGGAGUGCUGGAGAGGUAAGCGGAAUUCCUGGUGUAGCGGUGAAAUGCGUAGAUAUCAGGAGGAACACCGGUGGCGAAGGCGGCUUACUGGACAGUGACUGACGUUGAGGCUCGAAAGCGUGGGGAGCGAACAGGAUUAGAUACCCUGGUAGUCCACGCGGUAAACGAUGAGUGCUAGGUGUCGGGGGGCAAAGCCCCUCG